rnacentral:lncRNA from 1 species
CCGAGGUUCUAAAAUGUGGCGUCGUUAACUGAGGUGUUCAAUUCUGAACGUAUUACCGUUAGACAUGGACGCGCUCAUGGCCACGGGGCUUCCAGCGCUCAGCACUGACACAACGGGGGCUGCUGCCUGUUACAGUUGAAUUUAAACAAAUCGAGUACGAAAUGGAUUCACUAAAUAUUUAUUAAGGUAGGAAAGCAAAAGCAGCUCUGGGCGGCUGGGAAGUAACAGCUCCACCAAGGGCUCGCAAAUUCAAGCAAGCUGAGCAGCUCUUUUAAUCUUCACCGAGGUCGCUUCUGCUAUCUUCGGUACGCCCCUCUGCUUCUUCCGUGGUUUCUUGCUUAAGGUAGUUUCGAGAUGUUGGUUCCAGAAUCAGCUUAUACAAUCUGUUCUUUACAUGGUUGAUUGGUACAACGGCACACGUUAACAUAACAUCGCGGUUUAACAUCUGCUCAGGAUAAUACAUUCCGAUAACAUUGUAGUUACGAUUUAUCUUGUCAAACAGGACGUUCCCAUGUUUGGCGUAGCAAGGUAACAUUGUGGACAUGUCUCCUUAAACAGGAAGUUCUCAAGACCGCCACAAUGGCUUAGACAGGUUCACACAGAAUUGCAGGGACCAAAUGAAAACUGUUGGAAUAUACCCAUUUCCAAAUGCCAGGUCCUCCCACCCCAGCAUUUUCUUAGAAAGUGCGUCCUACUACUGCUGACACAUCACUGCGAAUCCAGCCAAAAUGCCAUCCUAACAGGCAGGCAGAAGGCAGACAAGAUCCCAAAGAGGGACAAGCACCAAACCAAAAAUAUGCCAAUAUACAUUCAAAGGGUGAAAAAGUUAAAACUCAAUUAUGGAUUGUUUUUUGGGGAAAAACAUACAAGUUUUCCUAACUUGCUGCAAUGACGUGGGGGUUCCACUGCACCAGGAAAGGUAAGAGAAAUACAGUAUUUUUAUUGGUUUACUUGUGUCCUUGAGGUGUUUCUAAGGAGUGCCCUACAAAUGACUGAAAGAAUUUUAAGCUAGGUUUCUGCUAAAUACAUGUAGAGUCAUGAAUCCUGACAAAUUCUUAUUAAAUCAAAGAGCAUUAAGAGAAAACACAUAAAUAAGACAUGCAGCAUCUUUGGUAAUUUUUGAUGUAUUCUAAGGGAAGUACUUACAAUACAAAGCUACAUUUCAGAUCUCUCGUAUUUUAUCUAUAUAUUACAUCUUACAUAUUUGACCAAGAGAGGUAUGCACAAACUUCUAAACAACCAUUAAAAGUUUCUAUUUAGAACAAUGAAUGGACUUAGCUGAGCCCAGCAGUGCUCUAUCUGUGCCUGGAAAAGGGAAUGUGUAUGAAUAACGUUGCUGUGGUUUAACCCCAGCUAGCCACUCGCCCACUCCCCCC